GCGUGCUUAACACAUGCAAGUCGAACGGUAACAGAUAGAAGCUUGCUUCUAUGCUGACGAGUGGCGCACGGGUGAGUAAUAUAUAGGUAAUGUGCCCCGCAGACCGGGAUAGCCACUGGAAACGGUGAUUAAUACUGGAUACUCCUUCUUCUUUUAAGAGAGGUUGGGAAAUGGAUUCCGCUGCGGGAUCGGCCUAUAUCCUAUCAGCUAGUUGGUGAGGUAAGAGCUCACCAAGGCGAUGACGGGUAGCGGGUUUGAGAGGAUGAUCCGCCACACUGGUACUGAGACACGGACCAGACUCCUACGGGAGGCAGCAGUGAGGAAUAUUGCACAAUGGGGGAAACCCUGAUGCAGCAACGCCGCGUGGAGGAUGACGCAUUUCGGUGUGUAAACUCCUUUUAUAUGUCAAGAAAAUGACGGUAGCAUAUGAAUAAGCACCGGCUAACUCCGUGCCAGCAGCCGCGGUAAUACGGAGGGUGCAAGCGUUACUCGGAAUCACUGGGCGUAAAGGACGCGUAGGCGGGAUAGUAAGUCUGAUGUGAAAUCCUAUGGCUCAACCAUAGAACUGCAUUGGAAACUGCUGACCUAGAGUAUGGGAGGGGGAGAUGGAAUUAGUGGUGUAGGGGUAAA
rnacentral:rRNA from 1 species